GUUAAUGUAGCUUAAACAUAAAGCAAGGCACUGAAAAUGCCUAGAUGUGCCAUCAGGCUCCAUAAACA
rnacentral:tRNA from 2 species